ACAAAGAACAAGUCAUGUUAUGUAUGAAUUAAUAUCAUUUUGUACUUUUCUCAGGAUGGUUUAAUUUUUCUACAAUCUUAAUAAAAUAACUUUUACAAAUAUA